AACGUAGGACGCAAGCGUUAUCCGGAGUUACUGGGCGUAAAGCGCAGGUAGGCGGUUUGAUAAGUCUGUUGUGAAAGCUCCCGGCUUAACUGGGAGAGGUCAACGGAAACUGUCAGGCUAGAGUGUGGUAGAGGUAGCUGGAAUUCCCGGUGUAGCGGUGAAAUGCGUAGAUAUCGGGAGGAAUACCUAUGGCGAAAGCAGGCUACUGGACCAUCACUGACGCUGAUCUGCGAAAGCUAGGGGAGCAAACAGG
rnacentral:rRNA from 1 species